UACGUAGGUGGCAAGCGUUGUUCGGAAUUACUGGGCGUAAAGCGCGCGUAGGCGGCUUUGUAAGUUAGAGGUGAAAGCCCGGAGCUCAACUCCGGAACUGCCUUUAAAACUGCAUCGCUUGAAUCCAGGAGAGGUGAGUGGAAUUCCGAGUGUAGAGGUGAAAUUCGUAGAUAUUCGGAAGAACACCAGUGGCGAAGGCGGCUCACUGGACUGGUAUUGACGCUGAGGUGGCGAAAGCGUG
rnacentral:rRNA from 1 species